rnacentral:rRNA from 1 species
AUUGAACGCUGGCGGCAUGCCUUACACAUGCAAGUCGAACGGCAGCGGGGGAGAAGCUUGCUUUUCCUGCCGGCGAGUGGCGAACGGGUGAGUAAUACAUCGGAACGUGCCCUGUAGUGGGGGAUAACUAGUCGAAAGAUUAGCUAAUACCGCAUACGACCUGAGGGUGAAAGUGGGGGACCGCAAGGCCUCAUGCUAUAGGAGCGGCCGAUGUCUGAUUAGCUGGUUGGUGGGGUAAAGGCCUACCAAGGGGACGAUCAGUAGCUGGUCUGAGAGGGCGAUCAGCCACAAUGGGACUGAGACACGGCGCAGACUCCUACGGGAGGCAGCAGUGGGAAUUUUGGACAAUGGGGGCAACCCUGAUCCAGCAAUGCCGCGUGUGUGAAGAAGGCCUUCGGGUUGUAAAGCACUUUUGUCCGGAAAGAAAUCGCGUUGGAUAAUACCUGACGUGGAUGACGGUACCGGAAGAAUAAGCAUCGGCUAACUACGUGCCAGCCGCCGCCGUAA